CCUACGGGAGGCAGCAGUAGGGAAUCUUCGACAAUGGGCGCAAGCCUGAUGGAGCAAAGCCGCGUGAGUGAAGAAGGGUUUCGGCUCUGAAAGCUCUGUUUAUAGAGAAGUAAGGUCAUGAGAGUAACUGUUCACGCAGUGACUUUAUCCAACCAGAAAGGCAAGGCACACGACUUGCCAGCAGCCGCGGCAAAACGUAGGUGGCAAGCGUUAUCCGGAUUGAUUGGGAGUAAGGCGAGCGGAGAUGGUUGCUUAGUUGUGUUGUGAAAGCGUUCGGCUUAACCGAAGAAUUUCAUCUGAAACCGGCCAACUUGAGUGCAGAAGAGGAAAGUGGAACUCCAUGUGUAGCGGUGGAAUGCGUAGAUAUAUCGAAGAACACCAGUGGCGAAGGCGGCUGUCUGAUCUGCCACUGACGCUGAGGCUCGAAAGUAUGGGUAGCGAACAGGAUUAGAUACCCCUGUAGUC
rnacentral:rRNA from 1 species